UAGAGUGUGGGAGAGGAAGAUGGANUUAGUUGUGUAGGGGUAAANUCCGUAGAGAUAACUAGGAAUACCAAAAGCGAAGGCAAUCUUCUGGANCACUACUGACGCUGAGGCGCGAAAGCGUGGGGAGCAAACGGGAUUAGAUACCCCGGUAGUCCACGCAGUAAACGAUGAAUGUUAGUCGUCGGGGGCCUAGUGUCUUCGGUGAUGCAGUUAACACAUUAAACAUUCCGCCUGGGGAGUACGGUCGCAAGAUUAAAACUCAAAGGAAUAGACGGGGACCCGCACAAGUGGUGGAGCAUGUGGUUUAAUUCGAAGAUACGCGAAGAACCUUACCUAGCCUUGACAUAUAUUAGAAUUUUUCAGAGAUGAGAGAGUGCCUUCGGGAGCUUUUAUACAGGUGCUGCACGGCUGUCGUCAGCUCGUGUCGUGAGAUGUUGGGUUAAGUCCCGCAACGAGCGCAACCCUCGUCACUAGUUACUAACGGUUCGGCCGAGGACUCUAGUGAGACUGCCUUCGCAAGGAGGAGGAAGGUGAGGACGACGUCAAGUCAUCAUGGCCCUUACGGCUAGGGCAACACACGUGCUACAAUGGCUAGGACAAUGAGACGCAAUACCGCGAGGUGGAGCAAAUCUAUAAACCUAAUCUCAGUUCGGAUUGUAGUCUGCAACUCGACUACAUGAAGCUGGAAUCACUAGUAAUCGUAGAUCAGCUAUGCUACGGUGAAUACGUUCCCGGGUCUUGUACUCACCGCCCGUCACACCAUGGGAGUUGAUUUCACCCGAAGCGGGGAAGCUAAACUGGCUACCCUCCACGGUGGAAUCAGCGACUGGGGUGAAGUCGUAACAAGGUAAC
rnacentral:rRNA from 1 species